rnacentral:rRNA from 1 species
AUUGAACGCUGGCGGUAUGCUUAACACAUGCAAGUCGAACGGCAGCACAGUAUGUAGCAAUACAUAUGGGUGGCGAGUGGCGGACGGGUGAGUAACGCGUAGGAAUCUACCCUAAAGCGGGGGACAACCCGAGGAAACUCGGGCUAAUACCGCAUAAUCUCGAAAGAGUAAAGCUGGGGCAACCUGGCACUUUAGGAGGAGCCUGCGUCCGAUUAGCUAGUUGGUGAGGUAAAGGCUCACCAAGGCGAUGAUCGGUAGCUGGUCUGAGAGGAUGAUCAGCCACACUGGGACUGAGACACGGCCCAGACUCCUACGGGAGGCAGCAGUGGGGAAUAUUGGACAAUGGGGGCAACCCUGAUCCAGCAAUACCGCGUGUGUGAAGAAGGCCUUAGGGUUGUAAAGCACUUUAGUUGGGGAAGAAAGGUAUCAAGUGAAUAACUUGGUGCUAUGACGGUACCCGCAGAAUAAGCACCGGCUAACUCUGUGCCAGCCGCCGCGGUAA